CAUCCUUAUACAGUUAGGUUUAUUUUACUUUUUAUCUUAUUGUUAAAAUUUAUAAACAUUGUCCUUAGAGAGCCAUAUUAGACUAAAAUUGUGGACUGUUGUUAAAUUAAAUCUUCUACAAGCUUUGAUUGCCAUUAGUCUUCUAUGUAUUUGUUAUUCACAUGCACACCCCACGUAAUUAUGGAUACGAUAUUUCUGAACCAAAAAUGGGACAAGGAGUCUGACCACAUGAUCAACUAUUUGAAACAGGCAUUGCCUUCCAAAAUUAAGAAUAUGUCAUUAUUGAACCUUAAUUCUCUUUGUGUUUUCCACUAGGUUAUUUUCUAGCAGAUGAUGUCAAAGUUUUCCUGACUCAAGGACUAAAAGUUUUCAGGGGCAUCAUAAACCAUAUGAUCACAGUCCUAAGGUCAGUUUCCCUGCACAUGCUCUCUUGCCUGCCACCAUGAAGACGUGACUUUGCUCCUCCUUCACCUUCUGUCACGAUUGUGAGGCCUCCCCAGCCAUGUGGAACUGAGGCUGGAUUUUAGGCUAUACCAUGACUUUGCAAGAGAUCACUGCAUUUUAACCCCUUUAGAAGAAUUUCCCUUUGAGUCUUGGGCAAUCAGGACAUCAAGCUCAUGAAAAUGUGUAAAGAUCAGCUGGGCUCUGAGGAGACAUCCCAAGGAACAGUAUUGCUGCGGACUUUCUAAAAACAGAAAAAAAAAAUCAUGUAACAUCAAUGUCUUUAAUAGGAUUCCUAAAAAUAAAUAAACAAACUUCAAAAAUCUUUGACCAAGAUUACAACUGAAUUGAAUAAGAUAGCUUUGAUACUUAAUGUAAUUUUUGUGUAUCCUAUUUUAACAUCUGUUGUCAGUCUUCUAAACAUACUUAAAAGGUGACGUGGAUGAGCAUUAGUCUGUUAGUCUGUGAGCUGAGCAAAUGGCUAUGAAGAUCUGAACCCGUAGACAAAUUACUCAUAAUAGUAUCCUGUGUCUUAAAACACAGCAAAAGUAUUUUCUUCAAAUUGGGAUAGAGUCAAAGUAUUUAAAUUGCUAGCAGUAAAAGCAAUGAAUAAUUUUUAUAGAAGAAUCCAAAAUGUCUUGUUCAAAAUAUUACAUAACCAUUGGUGAAAUGUAUUAGCUAUUCAAAAGUCCAUGUUUGGGGGUAAUAAAAAAGGAGAAAUGGAUCAGUAAAGGACAGAGAAAGUUGUGGUGGGAGGUUAUGCAGAGAAAGAGAGAGAAAGUGAGAACAGUUUUC
rnacentral:lncRNA from 10 species